rnacentral:pre_miRNA from 1 species
UCUCACGGAUGAGCAAAGAAAGUAGUUUCUUGAGAUGGAAUCUACUACUGGUAAAGAUACUGUCAG